rnacentral:tRNA from 1 species
CAACAAGUAGUUUAUACACUAAAGAAUAUUAAUUUUGGGUAUUAAAGGUAUAGGGAUUCCUAUUUUGUUGA